GACGAACGCUGGCGGCGUGCUUAACACAUGCAAGUCGAACGGAAAGGCCCUGCUUUUGUGGGGUGCUCGAGUGGCGAACGGGUGAGUAACACGUGAGUAACCUGCCCUUGACUUUGGGAUAACUUCAGGAAACUGGGGCUAAUACCGGAUAGGAGCUCCUGCUGCAUUGUGGGGGUUGGAAAGUUUCGGCGGUUGGGGAUGGACUCGCGGCGUAUCAGCUUGUUGGUGGGGUAGUGGCUUACCAAGGCUUUGACGGGUAGCCGGCCUGAGAGGGUGACCGGCCACAUUGGGACUGAGAUACGGCCCAGACUCCUACGGGAGGCAGCAGUGGGGAAUAUUGCACAAUGGGCGGAAGCCUGAUGCAGCAACGCCGCGUGCGGGAUGACGGCCUUCGGGUUGUAAACCGCUUUCGCCUGUGACGAAGCGUGAGUGACGGUAAUGGGUAAAGAAGCACCGGCUAACUACGUG
rnacentral:rRNA from 1 species